rnacentral:rRNA from 1 species
UGGGCGUUAAGUUGCAGGGUAUAGACCCGAAACCCGGUGAUCUAGCCAUGGGCAGGUUGAAGGUUGGGUAACACUAACUGGAGGACCGAACCGACUAAUGUUGAAAAAUUAGCGGAUGACUUGUGGCUGGGGGUGAAAGGCCAAUCAAACCGGGAGAUAGCUGGUUCUCCCCGAAAGCUAUUUAGGUAGCGCCUCGUGAAUUCAUCUCCGGGGGUAGAGCACUGUUUCGGCAAGGGGGUCAUCCCGACUUACCAACCCGAUGCAAACUGCGAAUACCGGAGAAUGUUAUCACGGGAGACACACGGCGGGUGCUAACGUCCGUCGUGAAGAGGGAAACAACCCAGACCGCCAGCUAAGGUCCCAAAGUCAUGGUUAAGUGGGAAACGAUGUGGGAAGGCCCAGACAGCCAGGAUGUUGGCUUAGAAGCAGCCAUCAUUUAAAGAAAGCGUAAUAGCUCACUGGUCGAGUCGGCCUGCGCGGAAGAUGUAACGGGGCUAAACCAUGCAC